rnacentral:rRNA from 1 species
UACGUAGGUGGCGAGCGUUGUUCGGAUUUACUGGGCGUAAAGGGAGCGUAGGCGGACUUUUAAGUGAGAUGUGAAAUACUCGGGCUCAACUUGAGUGCUGCAUUUCAAACUGGAAGUCUAGAGUGCAGGAGAGGAGAAUGGAAUUCCUAGUGUAGUGGUGAAAUGCGUAGAGAUUAGGAAGAACACCAGUGGCGAAGGCGAUUCUCUGGACUGUAACUGACGCUGAGGCUCGAAAGCGUGGGGAGCAAACAGG